rnacentral:rRNA from 1 species
GACUACUGGGGUAUCUAAGCCUGUUUGCUACCCACGCUUUCGUACAUGAGCGUCAGUGUCAUCCCAGGGGGCUGCCUUCGCCAUCGGUGUUCCUCCACAUCUCUACGCAUUUCACUGCUACACGUGGAAUUCCACCCCCCUCUGACGCACUCUAGACUGCCAGUUCAAAAUGCCAUUCCCAGGUUAAGCCCGGGGAUUUCACAUCUUGCUUAACAAUCCGCCUGCGCACGCUUUACGCCCAGUAAUUCCGAUUAACGCUCGCACCCUACGUAUUACCGCGGCUGCUGGCACGUAGUUAGCCGGUGCUUCUUCUGCUGGUACCGUCAUUAGCGCGCUAUGUUAGAGCGCACCGUUUCGUUCCAGCUGAAAGAGCUUUACAACCCGAAGGCCUUCUUCACUCACGCGGAAUGGCUGGAUCAGGGUUGCCCCCAUUGUCCAAAAUUCCCCACUGCAGCCACCCGUAGG